CAUGCGAUACUAGUGUGAGGCCGCGGAGGGGACAGAAUUCCUGCGGGGCCCGCCCGGAUCACCGUGUCUGGAGGCUGCAGGGGUGAGAACACGCAAAUCAACCAGAGGACGCUUCGCCCCGGGGCUGGGAUUCGGCUGGCGCGGCGGCGGCGGAAGCCGGGACGAGGCAGGAAGAGGCGAAGGAGGAGGCGGAGGAAGAGGCGGCGGCCGCGGAGGCGAGAACGCGAGCGAAGAGGCGGCGCUGGGGUUUCUCCCACAAGAUGGCCGACGGAGGCUAUUUAGACGCGCCCGCCGCCCCUCCCCCGUGACCCGCCCGCGCCGGGCAUCCUGGGACUUGUAGUUCUCUCGAGGUGGUCGAUCCCGAGCAGCCCGGGGCCGGCGGGCUUCCGGGACCGCAGUUCCCGGCAGGGAGCACGGCCUGCGGCGCCGGCGGCCCGGCCGGGAGGGUACUGGGGCCUUGGCGCAGUCGGGGCAGAGCCCGUAGGGUGCGGGGGCUAAGCCACCCCUCCCCCCGCCCCCGAGCCGUCGCUUGCUCUCCCGGACUCUAGCGGCGCCGAGGAGGUCGGUGCUGGGUGCGCAGUCUGCGUCAGUCACCGUCGAGGCCCAGGGUCAUGUGGAGAGUAAACUCGGUGAAUUCAUCUUGAUUGGCAACAGACGUCCAGCACGAGCAUUUGGAAUAAACGAAUGAACUUCCCCUUGGCGUCCGUCCCGAUUAACCCUUCCGCCGUGAAGGUGUCUGACACGUGAUGGCGCAGUGACCCCGUGGAUGUGCUGCAGUGGCGUAAACGUGUGUGUGCGCAGAUUCCUUAUAGUACUAAAGACUGGUCCCUCAGAAGACCCUUGGAAACGUGUACUUCUGUAAAUGCUGUUUUAUGGCGGGAAACGUUGGGCUGCCUCAUGACGAAGAGACAAAUCGGCGUAUAAAUUAUGUGAACUAAAUCUCUGAAAUACUGGUCCGCCCGCCUUGCACGUUUCCUUAGUUAUUUCCGAGUACUGUGUAGGGAGUUUAAUAUACUAUGAGUAUUUGGUAAA